rnacentral:snRNA from 1 species
UUUUUUGUACAGUGGUAGUAUCAUAGCCAAUGAGGUUUAUUCAACAUGUGAUUAUUGCUAACUGAAAACUUUUCCCAAUACCCCAUCAUGACAACUUGAAAUAUAGUUGGCAUUGGCAAUUUUUGACAGUCUCUAUGAAGA